GCCUAAAGUGUCAAAGGCUUUGCUUUCAGAUUUACCCCAAGUCUAGAACUAAACAGAAGAGUUUAACUAAUGGCAAAACAGGCUUCAGAGCAGAGCUUUUCACCCCCCUGCUGGGACAAGAACUGCAAUGGAAAUAUCACAGUUACAUUUUAAUAUCUUUAGAAAGUCUUUUCUAGCUACAGGCAGCCUCCAAGUCUCCUUGCCUACCUUACUCCAACUGCUGGGCAAGUUGUUUCCAACCCGGAAGCCCAAAUGCCUGGUGAUGAUGAGUCCAAUCUUGGCCACUUUGUUAUGUUUUUCCACGGGCUGUGAGUGGAUCCCUGUGAAAUCCCCUAUGGAUUUCAUGCAUUCUAAGGGUUUGUUUCACCAUGGGCCUCCCCAGGGCUCGCAGAGGAAUCUUGGAGCACCUCCUGCCCUCUCCUUCCCACCGGCCUUGGUGCUGCCAUGUUGUUUUCCCUCACACGCCCUCACUCCCUCCUCUCCUGAUCAGAAGAGAAACUGCUGCUCGUGGGUGCCAUUGCCAACAAAUCCCACUAAUUCAAAGACUCUUGCAGGAUCUGGCAGCACUGAGAAGUUGAUCUCACUUAGGUUCCACACAGGGGAAUCAUGCUUCCACAUCAUGCUUCUGCUGCAGGCCGGGCGGCCCUGCCACCAUCGCAUGAGCGGCGGUGGCCGUGGUGGUGCUGGAAUUAUUUAAUGCCUCUUGUCCUUGCAGUGUGCUGGGAAGGAGAAGCUGGAAUUAUUGAAUGCCUCUUUUCCAUGCAGUGUGCUGGGAAGGGGAAGCUGCCACUGCUGCCCUGCAGUGUGGCUGGCCGAGGGUGGCCACACAGGCACGGCUCGUGCAGGCCGCGCCGGGAUGGUGGCAGCCGUGGCACAUUGGCACGGGGCACGGUGGAAGGCAGCGGCGGAAAAGAACUGCACACACGUUGUUUUGAUUUUCUUCUGAAAUGUGUCAUCACAGAGGCUUUACCAGCCUCUCUAACUGGGCCAGCAGCGUGUCCAUCCUCAGAGCCAUCAGCUCUGUCAGACGUGGCGGAAGCUUCCGGCAGCUUCUCACACAAGCUACCCCUGUGGCCCCACAAACCAGGCUGUGCCAAACCAACACAAAACCUGGGAGUUUUGCAUCACAGCAGAAUUGUGAAUCAUAGAAGGACAUGUGCUUUGUCAAGACAUCAAACCAAAUUGAAAGCUGCAGGAAUCCAGGAGAGAAAGCACAGUAGCUGAAAAUGGACCCCUUUUUCCCCCAUCAUGAGCAACAUCAGAUCCAGUAUUCACUAACAAACACAGCCACAGGAGACUAAACCAUAAAGGAAGUUUCUCUUUUGCCUAUUGAACUGAAGGCAGCUGGUUGUAUUUUAAGGCACAGUAGAAAUUGGAUUGUGCCUGUAGAUAUUCCAGGAAUAACAUAAUACAAAAGAAAAAGAUUGAGAUUCUUACAGGAAUGAACACAAUGAUCAGACUGGCUACUUUUCAGCUUUCCACCUCCCUCCAUCCUUAGGGUAAGAAGCAGAACACUUCAUUGUCAUGAUCCAGAAGUGGUUUAUCAGGCUACUGACCUCUCUAUUCAUAAUUUGAUGGCCAUGUUAAAUUAUAACGAUGCAAAACUUGUUUGCUAGGUAAUGACACAACGUGUUUGAAUUGAGAGCUGUCACUUACUCUGUUUAGCACACACAAUAUGGAAAUUAAUUUCACAGAAAGUAACUUGCUCCUCUGAGGGAAAAGGACACUGCAGAUAUUUAUAGACUAUUUGAUUAGUUCCUUUCAGCAGCAUCAAGUAGGAUGACGCUGGAGCAGCCUGUAUUUACUUAAUACUGAACCUAUAAAGAAUCCAUCAUUUACAUAUUCUCCUCAAAAGCACCAGCUGUACAUUCUUAAAUAAAGUCAUAAAUGGCA
rnacentral:lncRNA from 1 species